rnacentral:rRNA from 1 species
GACGAACGCUGGCGGCGGGCUUAACACAUGCAAGUCGAACGGAAAGGCCCUGCUUUUGUGGGGUGCGCGAGUGGCGAACGGGUGAGUAACACGUGAGUAACCUGCCCUUGACUUUGGGAUAUCUUCAGGAAACUGGGGCUAAUACCGGAUAGGAGCUCCUGCUGCAUGGUGGGGGUUGGAUAGUUUCGGCGGUUGGGGAUGGACUCGCGGCUUAUCAGCUUGUUGGGGGGGUGGUGGCUUACCAAGGCUUUGACGGGUAGCCGGCCUGAGAGGGUGACCGGCCCCAUUGGGACUGAGAUACGGCUCAGACUCCUAGGGGGGGGAGAAGUGGGGAGUAUUGCAAAAUGGGCGGAAGCCUUAUGCAGCAACGCCGCGUGCCGGAUGACGGCCUUCGGGUUGUAAACCGCUUUCGCCUGUGACGAAGCGUGAGUGACGGUAAUGGGUAAAGAAGCACCGGCUAACUACGUG